rnacentral:rRNA from 1 species
GAUGAACGCUGGCGGCGUGCCUAAUACAUGCAAGUCGAGCGAACAGACGAGGAGCUUGCUCCUCUGACGUUAGCGGCGGACGGGUGAGUAACACGUGGAUAACCUACCUAUAAGACUGGGAUAACUUCGGGAAACCGGAGCUAAUACCGGAUAAUAUAUUGAACCGCAUGGUUCAAUAGUGAAAGACGGUUUUGCUGUCACUUAUAGAUGGAUCCGCGCCGCAUUUGCUAGUUGGUAAGGUAACGGCUUACCAAGGCAACGAUGCGUAGCCGACCUGAGAGGGGGAUCGGCCACACUUGAACUGAGACACGGUCCAGACUCCUACGGGAGGCAGCAGUAGGGAAUCUUCCGCAAUGGGCGAAAGCCUGACGGAGCAACGCCGCGUGAGUGAUGAAGGUCUUCGGAUCGUAAAACUCUGUUAUUAGGGAAGAACAAAUGUGUAAGUAACUAUGCACGUCUUGACGGUACCUAAUCAGAAAGCCACGGCUAACUACGUG